ACUUGCUUCAAUAGCACAUACUAAAAUUGGAACUCUACACAGAAGAUUAGCAUGACCCCUUGCAAGGAGGACACACAAAUUUGUAAAGCAUUCUGUAUUUUU